UACGAAGGGGGCUAGCGUUGUUCGGAAUCACUGGGCGUAAAGGGCGCGUAGGCGGCUUUGUAAGUCGGGGGUGAAAGCCUGUGGCUCAACCACAGAAUUGCCUUCGAUACUGCAUGGCUUGAGACCGGAAGAGGUAAGUGGAACUGCGAGUGUAGAGGUGAAAUUCGUAGAUAUUGGGAAGAACACCGGUGGCGAAGGCGGCUCACUGGCUCAUUACUGACGCUCAGGCGCGAUAGCGUGGGGAUCAAACAGG
rnacentral:rRNA from 1 species